rnacentral:rRNA from 1 species
GCGAACCAAUGGGAGCUUGCUCCCUGAGGUUAGCGGCGGACGGGUGAGUAACACGUGGGUAACCUGCCUGUAAGAUUGGGAUAACUCCGGGAAACCGGAGCUAAUACCGGAUAACAUUUUGAACCGCAUGGUUCAAAAUUGAAAGAUGGUUUCGGCUGUCACUUACAGAUGGACCCGCGGCGCAUUAGCUAGUUGGUGAGGUAACGGCUCACCAAGGCGACGAUGCGUAGCCGACCUGAGAGGGUGAUCGGCCACACUGGGACUGAGACACGGCCCAGACUCCUACGGGAGGCAGCAGUAGGGAAUCUUCCGCAAUGGACGAAAGUCUGACGGAGCAACGCCGCGUGAACGAUGAAGGCCUUCGGGUCGUAAAGUUCUGUUGUUAGGGAAGAACAAGUACCAGAGUAACUGCUGGUACCUUGACGGUACCUAACCAGAAAGCCACGG